AUGAUGUGCGUUCUUCCAGUAGGAGAUUUUCCGAGGGAGCGAGCCACCUGGUUCCACACCACAAAGACACAGAGGACACCGGACCACCAGACCACUGUACUGGAGGCAGCUUUUGAACCAACCACAAGGAUUUUAGACAAAACAGGAACAAACCAAAAGAGAUCAUCUUAUAACUUGGAGCAAGGAUGGACCUCAACAGUGCCCCUGCUACUGGUUAUGUCCAAAGCCAUCCUCUGGGUGAAUAAGCCUCAGAGGCCUCCUUGUGGGAAGACAGCAUCAAGCUGCAAGACUCCUGCGACUCCCAUGUCCACUGAUGCCCACAGCCUUUCAGACUCCAGAAGGAACCCCUGAUCCUGGGCCUUAUGUUUAUCUUCAUCUUAUUGCUAGAUACCUUUUAAAAUGUAAAAAUAAUUAAAUAAAAUAUAUGAUGUCCAUAGUUUGAGGACCAAAAUAAGCAUGUGUGCCCAUCGUCAGCCUAAGAAAUUUAACAUUAAGAUAUUUGAAGCCAUGAUAUCCCUGUCUCUAACUUCAUAUCUGUCCUUCUCCUACUUUCAGAAUUAACUAAUAACUAGAUUUUUAAUGGUAAUCGUUUCCUUACUUUUCUUGCACAUUCUGAGCAGGGUGUGGUUGUUUCAAAAUAUUGAACAAGGGAAAUUGUAUUGUUUAAAGCUCAUCAAUUUGAGAAGUGUAUUGGCUUUGCUCUUAUGCCAGCAGAU
rnacentral:lncRNA from 1 species